rnacentral:rRNA from 1 species
UACAGAGGUCCCGAGCGUUGUUCGGAUUCAUUGGGCGUAAAGGGUGCGUAGGCGGUCUUCUAAGUUUGAUGUGAAAUCCCGGGGCUCAACCCUGGAAUUGCAUUGAAUACUGGAGGACUCGAGUCCCGGAGAGGAAACUGGAAUUUACGGUGUAGCAGUGAAAUGCGUAGAGAUCGUAAGGAACACCAGUGGCGAAGGCGGCUUUCUGGUCUGUAACUGACGCUGAGGCGCGAAAGCGUGGGGAGCAAACAGGG